UUUAAGCGCAGCCAUGAGUUUUCCUGUCCAACUAUAAUCGUCUGUCUUAUUUAAAUUUUUUUAUGAUUAGUAUCUUUAUUGUUAUUAGAUGAUAAAAUAUGAAUAGAACUUUAUGCGUGGCUUAUGUUUUUUUAUUUUUUUCAAAAAAAAUCAAAUAAGACGGUCAAUUAAAGUUGAACGCGAAAACUCAUGACUCUGCUUAAA
rfam:Oryza punctata chromosome 5, whole genome shotgun sequence.